GAUCUGUUUGUGGGAUCCACCCUCCUUUUGACAUUCACCAUGGCCUGGAUCCUUGUUCUCGUCACAUGUCUCAGUUACUGUUCAGGUAUGUUUGUGGAGACCUAACAUAUUAUUUGACUUGACUUCUGUUACUUUCACAAGAAGAUAAUAAUUUUCUGAAAUCUGAGGGCGCAGAAAAUGAUGCAUGUACCAGCAAGAAAGCUAUAGUCUUUCCUAAUAUUUGAGAACACUGGAAAUGAUUCAUGUGCUUUUAUUUGAUUUUUCUUUUGCAAAGGUGUCACAUCGCAGACAACAUUGAUCCAGCCUGCCUCUGAGUCUGUGCUCCCGGGUCAAACUGUCAAACUCUCCUGCUCUAGAAGUAGUGGCAGCUUGCAUAUUUAUAGCUGGCUUCAACAGAAAGGUGGACAGGCUCCUCGUUUCGUGUUCUAUGCUACCGGCACCCGGGGAGAAGGGAUCCCUGAUCGGUUCACUCCCUCUGUCUCUGGGAACACUUACUAUUUAACCAUCUCCAAUGUCCAGGCUGAAGACGAGGCGGUUUAUUACUGUGCUGACUGGGUGACAGGCAGUAACGUGUUCCACGGUGGUACAAUCUAAUGGGGAACUGAUACAAAAAC